AUUGAACGCUGGCGGCAUGCCUUACACAUGCAAGUCGAACGGUAACAGGCCUUUCGGGGUGCUGACGAGUGGCGAACGGGUGAGUAAUGCAUCGGAACGUGUCCAGUGGUGGGGGAUAACCCCGAGAAAUCGGGGCUAAUACCGCAUGAGCCCGAGAGGGGAAAGCGGGGGACCUGAUGAGGGCCUCGCGCGACUGGAGCGGCCGAUGUCCGAUUAGCUAGUUGGUGGGGUAAAGGCCCACCAAGGCGACGAUCGGUAGCGGGUCUGAGAGGACGGCCCGCCACACUGAGACUGAGACACGGCCCAGACUCUACGGGAGGCAGCAUG
rnacentral:rRNA from 1 species